GUGCGUGAAGACCACGGGCCGGUCUUCGCAGCGUAGGAAGUUGCGUUCCCUGCCGCAGAGCGAGAGGAAGGGGAAGUAGGCCUCGUAGCGCCCGCUGCGGUUGGGUCUCAGGCGGGAGAAGAACAUGACCAGGAACUGCGGGUCUGUGGGGAGGAGGGGGAAAGGGCGUGACUGCUCAGCACGCCAGACCCCGAGUCCCCCGGGCCCUACUGCCCCAGGGCAGGCGGCUCUCCCUGGGCCACAUCAAGGGCUUGUGCCGGCUGUCGGACAGCCACCCAGGCCUCACUUCAGUUAAGGGGCUUUUAAGCACAGUACGGCCAGCCUCCUAACGCGGGCAGGACGGCUGGCAGGUUGGGCAGCGCGAACGCUUAAGAGCCUUUCCCGAAGGAAGAGGGAAGGUGGGGUGGAAGGAGCAUCGGUACCUUUGAAGCAGGUGGUGAAGUUCUUCAUUCUGGAGUCGUCCAGGAAAAGCUGCAGAGAAGCAGACCGUGGCCCUUGAGUAACAGCUCGAGAGAGCUGUCCCAGGGCGAGAAGGGCCUGGUGGGCCUGAGCCCGGGCUGAUGUCCACUUUCUUUGCUCGUCUGUGCACACCAUGUGCAGGGAGGCGCGUGGAAGAUAAACUUGGGAGCCCUGCCGACCUCCCCACAUCUAUCCCACGCCCCCCGCCUUACUUCCUCAAGCACAGAUUCUCUCAGCUGGCAUGCCCUUUCCGCGCCUCUUCCCUCCUCCCUUUUAGUUUCUAAUGAGAUGUGCCACUUCUUCCGCAGAGGCUGAGUUGCUUCCUUGUGUGUAUGGUGGAUGCCACCGCCAGGGCUUCCAAAUCAGGCGCGGCGGCGGGGGACGCAGGACCGGGGGAUGCAAAGCCCGCAGAGCGCAGCCAGGCGCGGGACGUUGUCCUCUGGGGGCCUAACCCUUUGGGGCCAUAGCCGCGCGUCCUAGUGUUUCCAGCGCGACCCGGGAGACCGGGUUGCCUUACUGUAAAGACCCCGCCCCCGCCCACCUGGCCCUGAUGAUCCACAUAGUAAAAGUACUCGCGCGUCCGAGGCUCUGGGCUCUGGCCCUGCGUGUAGGAGACGCUCCCGCCCCCAGCGUAGGUCCGGGCUCCCGGGGACCGCGCCAAGAUUAGAGCCCAGGGCCGCAGAGCCCCACUCAUCGCCCACAUCCUCCUGCGCCGGAAACGGCCGGAGGUCACGCGGGGCAGGUGCUGUGGGAACACCGGUCCCCCGGCGGUCAUGGCCUCGUGCGUUGGGUUCCGUCUGCGGCCAAGGAGCUCGUCCGCCACCCACCCCCACCACCUUCCUCUCUCCUCCCAAUCCCAGGCGUUUCCGACACUCUAGGCGUCAGGGGCACGCCGCCCAGCGUUCCGGCUGGGGAAAGGGUGGCGAGCGGGACCGCCCGACGUUGGGGUUCUAGUGUGAGACGCAGGUGCGGUCGGUUUCGGGAACAGGGACAUAGGCUGGGCCUGGACUUCGCUGGGCAUGCAGGCCCUGUCCCUCCGCUCGCGGAGACUGGCUGUCCUCACGUGAGCGAGGUGCCCACACCGGCAACUGGCUGCUGAUAGCUGCCUCGCUGCCACUGGAAGGAAUGGGAGGCGACAGACUCGUAAGUGUCCAUACGUACUUUAUUCGCACAAAGUGUUUUCAUCUCUCGAGUCCAUGCGUCAGAGCGAGUCUUUGGCCGGGCUGCCGGUACCCAAGCCUCGAGACCACCGGACCCAGGACCUUCUCCCAGGGGGACACCGGGCCUCGGCAGGGCUGGGAUUUUUUAAUAAUAAAUAAAAACUCAACUCUAAAAAAUAUAUAUAUAUAUAAACUGGGGAUAAAUUAAGUUUUACAACGAUUGGAACCCAAAAUUCCAAAAUGGAAAAUGUACAGAGUCUAGGUACCUCCGCCGCCCUAUCCUCACCCUGCCCGCGCGCGCUCUGGACUCGAGGAAGGACAGCCUCUGGUGCCCCUCUGGUCCCCCGCUCUGGGCUCCUGCCCUCUCAUCUGCUGCAGGUCUUGGACGGGGAUAGGGCAGGAUUCGCUUUUUGGUCAAAGCCAAGAAGGUGGAGAAGAAAAUGAAGGAAUGAUAGCAACUUGUCUGCAGAGGAUGGGGGAGGACGACUCAAGAAAUAAAUAGCAUUUGGGUUAAGAUUA